CGCAGUUCAAAUUAUCCCAUACAGACCUGAUAGUUGGUUAUGAAGUUUACCUUCGUGGAAUGUUUGUCUGAAGUCUAAGAACUGUCAACAACAACAACGAGCAUCUUUCCUGUACAAGAAGCAUAGCGUGAAUAAAAACACGAACAAUAUUUAUCGUUGACAAUCGUCUUCAAUAAAAAACGAUAUCGCCAGCGGAAGUAAUGAUUGGUAAACAUUCUGUUAACAUAGAACAAAUAGGUCAUCGCUGAACUAAAUGAUAAUUGACCUUACCUGAGAUUAAGUGUAACUGUAAAUACAACGUAUAAAUCAUCAUUACUCAAAUGAUGGAGACAGCAAUGACUCUCACAUAAUGAUUUUUAAGAAAAUAGUUUUCUUUGGACAAUUAUCUUAUACCAGUAUGCUUUUGUGUAUAAUGUAAUAAUUAAAUAGUAAUUUUUUAUUGCUCUUCGAAA